UGCAGGAGUGCACUGUUCCCACAUUAAACUAUGUUUACUUCAGCAUUGUUUUUAAUAUCUUGUGUAUUGAUGUUUGUAUGUCAAUGACUCUUCACGGACCAAUCGCCAGUCGCCAUGCAUCAGCCAAUGAUGCCCGUGGAUGAUUGAUUGCUUGACCAAUCACAGACCAGUGGUGCUUUUUGCACCUGCUCUGGGCACACCUUUGUCAGCCUGCCGAGACCAUUGUCUUCUCAUUGACGGUCGACUAUUCAACCAAGUAACACCUUACCCAAUUCUUCACACGAUGUCGUACCGUAAGCCGGAAUGUCUGUCCUCCGCAAGGGAAGCGAGGGGCUGGGGAAGGAAGAAGGAGAAAGUCACCCCAAGGUACUUCACGUCAAUGUCCGGGGAGAUGCAAGAAGAAUCUCCGGGUUUAUCUACAAGGAGAAACCGCCUCGUUCUAAUCGCUAGCAGAGGUGUGGCAAAUGAUGCAUGCUCAUAUCUUCUCCCGACACCGCACCGUACGCUGGACUGUCUUGCCUCGGGCCAGGGAGGCUAGGGCUGCCGAAGGGGGCACCAAGCGUCAACGUUGGGUUCUUACAGCAAUGUCCGUCAAGAGAAUCUGAAACGUCUGGAAUCUGGACGCCGAAACGUCUGGACACAAUAAAGGAUCCAAGGGCGCGUGAAGGCCUGAAAAUACUUACAUGCCUGUAUUUCCAUCAUAUCCACAACGACUUGAUGGUCGUACCACAUGUGACACGCUGAUGUACGUGCGUAUAGUCUGGUUCUGUUGAAGAACCUCAAGUCAUCGGAGAAACAAGCUUGAAGACAAGGGCUUUCCAGGCUCAACCGAAGCCAUAAAGGAACAAACGUUCAUGGUGGGACAAAUCCUGACAAGACGUUGCCCAACGCCAAGUUCGUAACUCCGUGGUCAAAAAGACGAUGGUCGUGUGCACACCCUGUCAGAGGAUCUGGUGUAAGGCAAGCAAAGAAUGAUAAGU